UGUCAAUGGAGUGGUUUGACUAGGUGAU
rnacentral:piRNA from 1 species